GACGAACGCUGUCGGCGUGCUUAACACAUGCAAGUCGAACGGAAAGGCCCUGCUUUUGUGGGGUGCUCGAGUGGCGAACGGGUGAGUAACACGUGAGUAACCUGCCCUUGACUUUGGGAUAACUUCAGGAAACUGGGGCUAAUACCGGAUAGGAGCUCCUGCUGCAUGGUGGGGGUUGGAAAGUUUCGGCGGUUGGGGAUGGACUCGCGGCUUAUCAGCUUGUUGGUGGGGUAGUGGCUUACCAAGGCUUUGACGGGUAGCCGGCCUGAGAGGGUGACCGGCCACAUUGGGACUGAGAUACGGCCCAGACUCCUACGGGAGGCAGCAGUGGGGAAUAUUGCACAAUGGGCGGAAGCCUGAUGCAGCAACGCCGCGUGCGGGAUGACGGCCUUCGGGUUGUAAACCGCUUUCGCCUGUGACGAAGCGUGAGUGACGGUAAUGGGUAAAGAAGCACCGGCUAACUACGUGCCAGCAGCCGCGGUGAUACGUAGGGUGCGAGCGUUGUCCGGAUUUAUUGGGCGUAAAGGGCUCGUAGGUGGUUGAUCGCGUCGGAAGUGUAAUCUUGGGGCUUAACCCUGAGCGUGCUUUCGAUACGGGUUGACUUGAGGAAGGUAGGGGAGAAUGGAAUUCCUGGUGGAGCGGUGGAAUGCGCAGAUAUCAGGAGGAACACCAGUGGCGAAGGCGGUUCUCUGGGCCUUUCCUGACGCUGAGGAGCGAAAGCGUGGGGAGCGAACAGGCUUAGAUACCCUGGUAGUCCACGCUGUAAACGGUGGGUACUAGGUGUGGGGUCCAUUCCACGGGUUCCGUGCCGUAGCUAACGCUUUAAGUACCCCGCCUGGGGAGUACGGCCGCAAGGCUAAAACUCAAAGGAAUUGACGGGGCCCCGCACAAGCGGCGGAGCAUGCGGAUUAAUUCGAUGCAACGCGUAGAACCUUACCUGGGUUUGACAUGGAUCGGGAGUGCUCAGAGAUGGGUGUGCCUCUUUUGGGGUCGGUUCACAGGUGGUGCAUGCCUGUCGUCAGCUCGUGUCGUGAGAUGUUGGGUUAAGUCCCGCAACGAGCGCAACCCUUGUUCACUGUUGCCAGCACGUUAUGGUGGGGACUCAGUGGAGACCGCCGGGGUCAACUCGGAGGAAGGUGGGGAUGACGUCAAGUCAUCAUGCCCCUUAUGUCCAGGGCUUCACGCAUGCUACAAUGGCUGGUACAGAGAGUGGCGAGCCUGUGAGGGUGAGCGAAUCUCGGAAAGCCGGUCUCAGUUCGGAUCGGGGUCUGCAACUCGACCUCAUGAAGUCGGAGUCGCUAGUAAUCGCAGAUCAGCAACGCUGCGGUGAAUACGUUCCCGGGGCU
rnacentral:rRNA from 1 species